GGUUAAGCGACUAAGCGUACACGGUGGAUGCCCUGGCAGUCAGAGGCGAUGAAGGACGUGCUAAUCUGCGAAAAGCGUCGGUAAGGUGAUAUGAACCGUUAUAACCGGCGAUGUCCGAAUGGGGAAACCCAGUGCAAUUCGUUGCACUAUCGUUAACUGAAUACAUAGGUUAACGAGGCGAACCGGGGGAACUGAAACAUCUAAGUACCCCGAGGAAAAGAAAUCAACCGAGAUUCCCCCAGUAGCGGCGAGCGAACGGGGAGCAGCCCAGAGUCUGAAUCAGCUUGUGUGUUAGUGGAACGGUCUGGAAAGUCCGACGGUACAGGGUGAUAGUCCCGUACACCAAAAUGCACAGGUUGUGAACUCGAAGAGUAGGGCGGGACACGUGGUAUCCUGUCUGAAUAUGGGGGGACCAUCCUCCAAGGCUAAAUACUCCUGACUGACCGAUAGUGAACCAGUACCGUGAGGGAAAGGCGAAAAGAACCCCGGCGAGGGGAGUGAAAAAGAACCUGAAACCGUGUACGUACAAGCAGUGGGAGCACCUUCGGGUGUGACUGCGUACCUUUUGUAUAAUGGGUCAGCGACUUAUAUUCUGUAGCAAGGUUAACCGUAUAGGGGAGCCGCAGGGAAACCGAGUCUUAACUGGGCGUUAAGUUGCAGGGUAUAGACCCGAAACCCGGUGAUCUAGCCAUGGGCAGGUUGAAGGUUGGGUAACACUAACUGGAGGACCGAACCGACUAAUGUUGAAAAAUUAGCGGAUGACUUGUGGCUGGGGGUGAAAGGCCAAUCAAACCGGGAGAUAGCUGGUUCUCCCCGAAAGCUAUUUAGGUAGCGCCUCGUGAAUUCAUCUUCGGGGGUAGAGCACUGUUUCGGCUAGGGGGUCAUCCCGACUUACCAACCCGAUGCAAACUACGAAUACCGAAGAAUGUUAUCACGGGAGACACACGGCGGGUGCUAACGUCCGUCGUGAAGAGGGAAACAACCCAGACCGCCAGCUAAGGUCCCAAAGUCAUGGUUAAGUGGGAAACGAUGUGGGAAGGCACAGACAGCCAGGAUGUUGGCUUAGAAGCAGCCAUCAUUUAAAGAAAGCGUAAUAGCUCACUGGUCGAGUCGGCCUGCGCGGAAGAUGUAACGGGGCUAAACCAUGCACCGAAGCUGCGGCAGCGACACUAUGUGUUGUUGGGUAGGGGAGCGUUCUGUAAGCCUGCGAAGGUGUGCUGUGAGGCAUGCUGGAGGUAUCAGAAGUGCGAAUGCUGACAUAAGUAACGAUAAAGCGGGUGAAAAGCCCGCUCGCCGGAAGACCAAGGGUUCCUGUCCAACGUUAAUCGGGGCAGGGUGAGUCGACCCCUAAGGCGAGGCCGAAAGGCGUAGUCGAUGGGAAACAGGUUAAUAUUCCUGUACUUGGUGUUACUGCGAAGGGGGGACGGAGAAGGCUAUGUUAGCCGGGCGACGGUUGUCCCGGUUUAAGCAUGUAGGCUGAUUAUCCAGGCAAAUCCGGAUAAUCAAGGCUGAGGUGUGAUGACGAGGCACUACGGUGCUGAAGUAACAAAUGCCCUGCUUCCAGGAAAAGCCUCUAAGCAUCAGGUAACAUCAAAUCGUACCCCAAACCGACACAGGUGGUCAGGUAGAGAAUACCAAGGCGCUUGAGAGAACUCGGGUGAAGGAACUAGGCAAAAUGGUGCCGUAACUUCGGGAGAAGGCACGCUGGUGUGUAGGUGAAGUCCCUGCGGAUGGAGCUGAGACCAGUCGAAGAUACCAGCUGGCUGCAACUGUUUAUUAAAAACACAGCACUGUGCAAACACGAAAGUGGACGUAUACGGUGUGACGCCUGCCCGGUGCCGGAAGGUUAAUUGAUGGGGUUAUCCGUAAGGAGAAGCUCUUGAUCGAAGCCCCGGUAAACGGCGGCCGUAACUAUAACGGUCCUAAGGUAGCGAAAUUCCUUGUCGGGUAAGUUCCGACCUGCACGAAUGGCGUAAUGAUGGCCAGGCUGUCUCCACCCGAGACUCAGUGAAAUUGAACUCGCUGUGAAGAUGCAGUGUACCCGCGGCAAGACGGAAAGACCCCGUGAACCUUUACUAUAGCUUGACACUGAACAUUGAGCCUUGAUGUGUAGGAUAGGUGGGAGGCUUUGAAGCGUGGACGCCAGUCUGCGUGGAGCCAACCUUGAAAUACCACCCUUUAAUGUUUGAUGUUCUAACGUUGGCCCCUUACCGGGGUUGCGGACAGUGUCUGGUGGGUAGUUUGACUGGGGCGGUCUCCUCCCAAAGCGUAACGGAGGAGCACGAAGGUUAGCUAAUCCUGGUCGGACAUCAGGAGGUUAGUGCAAUGGCAUAAGCUAGCUUGACUGCGAGCGUGACGGCGCGAGCAGGUGCGAAAGCAGGUCAUAGUGAUCCGGUGGUUCUGAAUGGAAGGGCCAUCGCUCAACGGAUAAAAGGUACUCCGGGGAUAACAGGCUGAUACCGCCCAAGAGUUCAUAUCGACGGCGGUGUUUGGCACCUCGAUGUCGGCUCAUCACAUCCUGGGGCUGAAGUAGGUCCCAAGGGUAUGGCUGUUCGCCAUUUAAAGUGGUACGCGAGCUGGGUUUAGAACGUCGUGAGACAGUUCGGUCCCUAUCUGCCGUGGGCGCUGGAGAAUUGAGGGGGGCUGCUCCUAGUACGAGAGGACCGGAGUGGACGCAUCACUGGUGUUCGGGUUGUCAUGCCAAUGGCACUGCCCGGUAGCUAAAUGCGGAAGAGAUAAGUGCUGAAAGCAUCUAAGCACGAAACUUGCCCCGAGAUGAGUUCUCCCUGAGACUUUAAGUCUCCUGAAGGAACGUUAAAGACGAUGACGUUGAUAGGCCGGGUGUGUAAGCGCAGCGAUGCGUUGAGCUAACCGGUACUAAUGAACCGUGAGGCUUAACCUU
rnacentral:rRNA from 1 species